AGCAUAAAUAGUCUCUUGUGUUCACUCAGUAAGAAACACAGUCAAAAAGAAAAAUUUUGAAUCAACAGAACUUGGAACUCAGCUGGGCUUGGAAGACUUGUGAACUUCCUGUUUUGAACAACUGGAUAAACAAGGGUACCAUUUAAUGCUACAUUUUUCCCCUAAGGUAAAAGCCUCCCCAGAACAUAGCUCUAGACCACUUAGCAUUUUAUUGAGAUGGAAAACAGCUCUACAAUAUCAACAUUUUGAAGUGGACCUUAGACACAGACUGCAUUGGCGAACUCUGACAAAUCUCUGAACUUGGUGAUUUGUAAGUCACUGUUGGUCUUUUCAAAUCCAGCUGCCCCUAAGUCAUUGUUCCGCCUCCUCUGAGGGAGGGUCAAGAGAAUAAGUUCAACCAUGAAGCAGAGACCUUGUAGCCCUGGAAACAUCAAGUGAGUGGAGGCCUCCAAGAUCUCACAGCUAAGACACCGGGUUAGCUGGCUUCAGCGCCCUGGCAGAACUUGCUGGCAGCCUGAGUCAGCGUCAACCAUCGGACACAGGGCAGGUGAAAGCAAUUCGCCAUGAGUCCGAAGCCCAGACCAACCAGAUUCUCCUGGGGGCCGGUCUAGGGCAUCUCUAGCCUCGCUCUGAACUCCCACAUAAGUUCGUGGUUACCCUCAGCUUUAAAUGAAUGAAAAUCAAGUCUUCCAUGAUUAAAAACAAAUGCUGUGUUUGGUGCCACAGUUGCAGAGAGUUGAAGGCCUGCUAUGUGUAUCAUAUACCGGAAUGAACUGGAGGAGACAGAAUAAGAGAUGGAAUUUAAGUUCCAAGUGUGAAUUCCAAAGCUGGGCCUGCUGUGUGAUGCUGCUCACUUAAGACCUCUACUGACCUCCUUUCCCUUCCCAAAUUUUGGGACCAAGAAAAGGAGCUCCUGCAGUGAGAUGCCUGGAACACCAAACAGAAAACACAGGCCCUGAGCAAGAAAAAGAGAGGGGCUUGCUGUUUUUAAAGACAGAUUCAGAAAUUUUGUAUAUUUGAGUGUGCAGUAAAUUCCUGUCAAAACACAACCAUCUGUGACAUUCCAAAUUUCUGGGUGUAAAGCAAUAAAACAAAGAGCCUGUGGAUUUUUUGCUGGUUACCUGCUGAGGUCAGGAGGUAGGUUGCAAGGAUGAUGAA
ensembl:lncRNA